UACGGAGGGGGCUAGCGUUGUUCGGAAUUACUGGGGCGUAAAGCGCACGUAGGCGGCUUUGCAAGUUAGAGGUGAAAGCCCGGGGGCUCAACUCCGGAAUUGCCUUUAAAACUGCAUCGCUAGAAUUGUGGAGAGGUAAGUGGAAUUCCGAGUGUAGAGGUGAAAUUCGUAGAUAUUCGGAAGAACACCAGUGGCGAAGGCGACUUACUGGACACAUAUUGACGCUGAGGUGCGAAAGCGUGGGGAGCAAACAGG
rnacentral:rRNA from 1 species